UGGGGAAUAUUGCACAAUGGGCGCAAGCCUGAUGCAGCCAUGCCGCGUGUAUGAAGAAGGCCUUCGGGUUGUAAAGUACUUUCAGCGAGGAGGAAGGCGUUAAGGUUAAUAACCUUGGCGAUUGACGUUACUAGCAGAAGAAGCACCGGCUAACUCCGUGCCAGCAGCCGCGGUAAUACGGAGGGUGCAAGCGUUAAUCGGAAUUACUGGGCGUAAAGCGCACGCAGGCGGUCUGUUAAGUCAGAUGUGAAAUCCCCGGGCUCAACCUGGGAACUGCAUUUGAAACUGGCAGGCUUGAGUCUUGUAGAGGGGGGUAGAAUUCCAGGUGUAGCGGUGAAAUGCGUAGAGAUCUGGAGGAAUACCGGUGGCGAAGGUGGCCCCCUGGACAAAGACUGACGCUCAGGUGCGAAAGCGUGGGGAGCAAACA
rnacentral:rRNA from 1 species